rnacentral:rRNA from 1 species
AUGGAGAAGGGCUCCGGCGCCGCCGCAGGAAGCAGCGCGCGGCCACCGCCGAUGCCGCAGCUGGACGAGUUCCCGUUCGAGGGGAAGAAGCCCGUCAAGAACCCCUUCGUCCCCAUCGGUGCAUUGGUCACUGCGGGUGUCCUGACAGCUGGCCUGGUCAGCUUCCGGUACGGGAAUUCUCGGCUGGGUCAGAAGCUGAUGAGGGCCCGUGUGGUUGCUCAAGGCGUUACGGUUGCUCUGAUGGUCGGCAGCGCGUACUACUAUGGUGACCAAAUCAAGCUGUUCAAGAAAGGGUCUAGCCCAUGA